rnacentral:rRNA from 1 species
UACGAAGGGGGGCUAGCGUUGCUCGGAAUCACUGGGCGUAAAGGGUGCGUAGGCGGGUCUUUAAGUCAGGGGUGAAAUCCUGGAGCUCAACUCCAGAACUGCCUUUGAUACUGAAGAUCUUGAGUUCGGGAGAGGUGAGUGGAACUGCGAGUGUAGAGGUGAAAUUCGUAGAUAUUCGCAAGAACACCAGUGGCGAAGGCGGCUCACUGGCCCGAUACUGACGCUGAGGCACGAAAGCGUGGGAGCAAACAGGAU